UAAAUGGUAAAUCAGUAGUUCCAGUCGUGGUGCAGUGGAAAUGAAUCCGACUAGGGACCAUGAGAUUGUGGGUUCAUUCCCUGGCCUCACUCAGUGGGUUAAGGAUCCGUCAUUCCUGUGAGCUGCGGUGUGGGUCACUGACAUGGCUAGGAUCUGGCAUUGCUAUGGCUGUGGUGUAGGCCAGUGGCCACAGCUUUGAUUCAACCCAUAGCCUGGGAACCUCCAUGUGCCAUGGCUGCGGCCCUCAAAAGACAAAAAGACAAAUAAAAUGAAAUAAAAUAAAUAAAUAGUAAAUCAGAACUAUAACUUUAGAAAAUUCAACUCACUAUCCAGAGUUCUGUUCAUUACAAUAUAAUCUCUCCUGGCAAAAGACACUAAUUAAAAACCUUAUAAUAAGGAGUGUCCGUCGUGGCUCAGUGGUUAAUGAAUCCAACUAGGAACCAUGAGGUUGCGGGUUCAAUCCCUGCCCUUGCUCAGUGGGUUAAGGAUCCGGCAUUGCCGUGAGGUGUGGUGUAGGUUGCAGACACAGCUCGGAUCCCUGGUUGCUGUGGCUCUGGUGUAGGCCAGCGGCUACAACUCUGAUUAGACCCCUAACCUGGGAACCUCCAUAUGCUGCAGGAGCGGCCCUAGAAAAAGCAAAAAGACCAAAAAACAAAAAAAACAACCUUAUAAUAAAUUAAAGUAAGAUAUACCAUACUCUUGGAUUGGAAGAAUCAAUACUGUCAAAAUGACUAAACUACCCAAGGCAACCUACAGAGUCAAGGCAAUCUACAGAUUCAAUGCAAUCCCUAUCAAACUACCAAUGCCACUUUUCACAAAACUAAAACAAAAUAUCUCUUAAAGUUUGUUUGGAAGCACAAGACCCAGAAUAGCCAAAACCAUCCUGAGAAAGAAAAACGGAGCUGGAGGAAUCAGGCUCCCUGGCUUGAGACUAUACUACAAACCUACAGGCACCAAAACAGUAUGGUACUGGCACAAAAACAGAAAUAUACAUCAGUGGAACUGGCGAGAAAGCCCAGAAUUAAACCCACACACCUAUAGUCAACUAAUCUAUGACAAAGGAGGCAAGAAUAUACAUGGAAAAAAGAGAGUCCCUUCAAUAAGCGGUACUGGGAAAACCGGAUGGCUACAUAUAAAACAAUGAAAUUAGAACACUCCUUAACACCAUACACAAAAAUAAACUCAAACUGCAUUAAAGACCUAAAUGUGGAGUUCCCAUUGUGGCACAGCAGAAACAAAUCCGACUAGGAACCAUGAGGUUUUGGGUUCAAUCCCUGGCUUCACUCAGUGGGUUAAGAAUCUGGCAUUGCUGUGAGCUGUGGUGUAGGUCACAGAUGCGGCUCGGAUCUGGCGGUGCUGUUCUGUGGUGUAGGCCUGCAGCUAUAGCUCCAAUUCGACCGCUAGCCUGGGAAUCUCCACAUGCCACAGGUGCAGCCCUAAACCCCCCCACCCCCGCAAAAAAAAAGGACCUAAAAUGUAAUUCUGGAUACUAUAAAACUCUUAGAGGAAAACAGGCCAAACCCUCUCGGACAUAAAGCACACCAAUAUCUUCUCAGAUCCACCUCCUAGAGUAAUGACAAUAAAAACGAAAUAAACAAAUGGGAUCUAAUUAAACUUAAAAGUUUUUGGCAGCAAAGGAAACCCUAAACAAAAUGAAAAGACAACUCAUAGAAUGGGAGAAAAUAUUUGCUAAUUAAGAGACUGAAAAGGGGGAGUUCCAGGUGUGGCACAUCGGAAACAAAUCUGACUAGUAUCCAUGAAGAUGUGGGCUCUAUCCCUCACCUCACUCAGUGGGUCCGGGAUCCAGUGUUGCUGUGGGCUGUGGUGAAGGUCACAGAUGAGGCUCAGAUCCCCUGCUGCUGUGGUAUAAGCUGGCAGCUGUAGCUCCAAUUUGUCCUGGGAACUUCAUAUGCCAUGUGUGCAGCCCUAAAAAAGCAAAGGAAAAAAAAAGACAGAGAGACUGAUAAGGGAUUAAUCUCCAAGAUAUAGAAACACCUCCUGCACUCAAUACCAAAAAAAAAAAAAAAAACCAAACAAUCCCAUCAAAAAAUGGGCAGAAGAUCUAAACAACUUUCCAAAGAAGACUUAUAGAUGGCCAAAAAAACACAUGAUAGAGAUGUUCAAUGUCACUAAUUAUUAGAUAAAUGCAAAUUAAAACUACUAUGAGGUACCACCUAACAAUUUUGUUUUAUAUGGGUUCUCAUAGUGGAAAUGUUCUACUACCUUGAAAUUCUGCUUAGGUAAAAUGCCUAGGUCUCUGAAUAAGCCAGAUAAGUAAACUAGUACUACAAAAACUAGUACAAGGAUAAAGUUAGAUUCCCUAUUAAUUUAUAAGAAUUAUCUAGAAUUUCUUAUUUCAGAUAAUGGAUGGGACAGAAUAUAAACAAUUCAGUGAUUUUUAAAUUAUUUCAGAACAAAAUCUGUGGUACAUUCUUUAGUUUGUUUCUCAUUAUUAUCAUCACUUGGAAAUAGAGUAACGUUCAAUAGAAGAAAAAUUUUUGAGAAUUUUUCUCCUCCCCCCUGCCCCUACUCCGACAAAAGCCACUCCAUACAUAAUUGUAAUCUGGCUGACAUUUGACUUUGAAUUCCACCCACAGAAAGGAAUCACUUACUUACAAGGUGUGUGGUAUAAGGUAUAUCUACCAGGAGGAGGAAAUGGGGAAGUUACUGCCCAUAUCCUUCCCCACUGAACUCUGGAAAGAAAUAUUAGCACUCCCAAACUAUAGGAAGAAAUCAGAAUUGGUUAAGAUUCCAUUCUUACUAAUGAGGGGAUAAAUGGGAAGGAGGAUACAACCUCGCCUAGGACUAACACCAUGAUGAUGAGUUGCAGCACAAGCCAAGCUAGGCCAACCUGAUCCUGAGUCUCCAAAGGGUUAUUAAAGGAGGCUGAUGCUAGGCCAGCCAGUAGUAACAAAACAGAAAAAUACUGGAAGUUAAAGGCAGCUAAAGACUGAAUGUGGUAUCAGAAUCUCUAACUUUGUUGUUCUCUUCUAUUUACCCAUCAAAUUUGAAGGUAACUAAAGAUUUCCAUUAUUUUUUCUAUAAGUUAUGAGGGACAUUCUAAAUUAUGGUAUUUAUGCAAAUAUUCUCAAAAAUCUAGGGACAUAUCUUUCACAAAUAUCGAGUAUACUAUAUAUCACUAUAUAGAAUUUGCAGUAUAGUUAACGUCUGAUGGGUGUUUUAUAUUUCAACGUGUGAUCUUUGCUAAGAUCAAAACAUUCAACUCCUUAGAAGAACAGUUUCUAAAGUCAAAGUUUAAAGUCAAACUCUUGUCUUCUCAUGGGGGAAAAAAAAAGGUUUUAAGGGGUCUUAAUACACAACAGAGAAAAUCAAAUACGUCAAGAUUUAUAUAUACAUGUAUACAUGUAUCUUAAGAGAUAAAGGUCUAACGGUGGAUAUGAGCAACACGUCAAAGGAACUGGGCAGAGAGUUUAAAAAAAAAAACAAAAGUAAAGGAGUUCCUGCUGUGGCUCAGCGGUAGCAAACCCGACUAAUAUUCAUUAGAACACAAGUUCGAUCCCUAGCCUGGCUCAGUGGGUUAAGGAUCUGGGGUUGCAGUGAGCAAAAGUGCUGGCUACAGACUCGGCUUGGAUGUGGCACUGCUGUGACUGUGGCAAAGACCUGCAGUCACAGCUCCAAUUCAACCCCUAGCCUGGAAACUUCCAUAUGCCCCAGGGAACGGCCCAAGAAAUAGCAAAAAAAAAAAGAGAGAGACAAAAAAAAAAAAAAAACUAGAAUGGCCCUGUGACCACCUAAAAGGCAAAAUGAUGUAACAGAUGCACUAAGGGCACUAAAAUGGGACAACUUUUAUUGAGUUCAAAUUCAUACUACCAUUUUAGAGUUAAAACUUUGGUUAGGAGUUCCCGUCGUGGCCCAGUGGUUAACGAAUCCGACUAGGAACCAUGAGGUUGCGGGUUCGGUCCCUGCCCUUGCUCAGUGGGUUAACGGUCUGGCGUUGCCGUGAGCUGUGGUGUAGGUUGCAGACGCGGCUCGGAUCCCGCGUUGCUGUGNNNNNNNNNNNNNNNNNNNNNNNNNNNNNNNNNNNNNNNNNNNNNNNNNNNNNNNNNNNNNNNNNNNNNNNNAAAAAAAAAAAAAAAAAAAAAAAAAAAAAAAAAAAAAAAAAAAAAAAAAAAAAAAAAAAAAAAAAAAAAAAAAAACUUUGGUUAAAUUCAACACCUAAAAAGCAUGCCUAUCACAGCCUACCUACCUAAACAGAUUAGGAUUGAGUAAAGUGUUUUAUUAACAAAGGCCCAGUGUUAGCACCUUUCCCUUUAUAAAUCUAGCCACCCUCAUCUUAAAAAAAAAAAAAUGUUUUGGCCCUGCCCAUGGCAUGUGGAAGUUCACUGGCCAGGAAUUGUACCCUCGCCACAGCAGCUACCCAAGCUGCUGCAGGGACAAUGCUGGAUCCUUAACCCACUGUGCCACAAGAGAACUCCCUAAAAUUUUGAAAAUCUGGAAUUGUAACUCUCAAUUCAUAGGAAAGUAUUAUUCUUACAUUCAAAUUAUUUUCCAAUAUUAUAAGAAAUUGUGGGGAAUUCCCGUUGCAGCUCAGUGGAAACGAAUCCAACCAGUAUCCCUGAGGGUGUGGGUUCAAUUCCUGGCCUCGCUCAGUUGGGGAUCCAGAGCUGCUGUGAGCUGUGGUGUAGGUCACAGACAUGGCUUGGAUCCCAAGUUACUGUGGCUGUGGAGUACCGUGCCAGAGUAAGCCAGCAGCUGUAGCCCCAAUUUGAGCCCUAGCCUAGGAACCUCCAUAUGCCACAGGUACAGCCCUAAAAAGCAAAANAAACUGUGUGCUACAGAUUAGAAGAGCAACACCCUGUUUUCUUCUUUCUCUAAAGGCGCUUUCCAAUAAGAAAUCAGAUUCUGGAAAAGCAAGAGACUUUCACUUAUCUUCCUGAUCCAGAGGCAGAUUCCCAUGCUGUGUGGGAAACUAAACCCAGCUGAUUGCUAAGCUUCAACUCAAGGUUUUCCUGAUUCUAAGAGGAAGCUUAUUUAAUGUGUACUUUAAGGUACUGCACCCUACAUUUUGCAUUUCCUGAGAAAGACUGCCUGAAGAAAAUUACCUGACUAAUGAUGAACUGAUGGUGGUUUUGGUUUGAGUUAUUCGGAGGGAGGAGGGGCGGGAUUUACACUUAAAAUCAUUUACAUGAGUUCCAGCUGUGGUGAGGCAGGUUAAGGAUUGCCAUAGUUGAAGCUCGGUUUCUAUCCCUGGCCUGGGAACUUCCACAUGCCUUGGGUGUGGCCAAAAAAAAAAAAAAAUCUGCAGGUGAAAAGCCAGCAAAACAUUCAACAAUACAAUUAAAGAACAGGAAAAAAAAUGUAUAAUACUGACAUCUACACUCUGAGGUAAUGAAAAUAAUAUCUGUAAUACUGAAAAAACUCGGAGAGAAUUUCAGGCACUGAAUUAAACUUCAGGAACCUUCUUUUUGCCUAACCUGGCACAUGCAGAAGUUCCCAGGCCAGGGACUGAACCCAAACCAUAGUAGGGACCCUGAACCCAAGCCACUACAGUGACAACGUCAGAUCCUUAACCCACUGCACCACAGGAGAACUCCAGGAAUUUUCAUUUUAAGUAUGUUACCACAGUCAAGACAUCAAAGAAAAGUCACACAAGAUAAAGUGACAUUUGCCAGUCUAAGAAGUGGGAACUAACAACUAUUGAUGAGAACUGUUCACAGACCUAAUAUUAUCAUAUUAGGAUACUGUUAUUGUCUUCCUCAAAAUCUAAAAGAACAAUAAAAUCUUUCAGUUAUAAAGUAUGUCAUGAUGAAAUCAGUCAAAUACUAAACAAAAGAAAAAUUCAGGAGUUCCCAUCGUGGCACAGCGGAAACAAAUCCAACUAGGAACCAUGAGGUUGUGAGUUCCAUCCCUGGCCUCAAUCAGUGGGUUAAGGAUCCGGUGUUGCUGUGAGCUGUGGUGUAGGUUGCGGACGCGGCGCGGAUCCUAUGUUGCUGUGGUGCAGGCUGGUGGUUAUGGCUCCAAUUGGAACCCUAGCCUGGGAACCACCAUAUGCUGUGGGUGCGGCCC
ensembl:lncRNA